AGUUGCCAUCAUUUGGUUGGGCACUCUAAUGAGACUGCCGGUGACAACCGGAGGAAGGUGGGGAUGACGUCAAGUCCUCAUGGCCCUUAUGGGUAGGGCUUCACACGUCAUACAAUGGUCGGUACGAGAGGGUUGCCAACCCGCGAGGGGGAGCUAAUCCCACAAAGCCGAUCGUAGUCCGGAUCGCAGUCUGCAACUCGACUGCGUGAAGUCGGAAUCGCUAGUAAUCGUGGAUCAGCAUGUCACGGUGAAUACGUUCCCGGGUCUU
rnacentral:rRNA from 1 species